CAGUGUGCCCCACAUAGAUGUUGUCCCUUUAGCCUGGCACCAGAACAAAGACAGAGUGUGUCUGAAUCCAGCCUGCAGCCUUGAGCAAGCCUAGCUCCCUCACAGCCUAAAGAAGAGCACCCCAGGUAAUGCACAGACCUAUGAGCGAGAAAAAGAAAUGUGGUGUUGACAGAACAGGGUCCUCUGUUUGACCUCGCUCUGUGAGGGGCUCGUGGUGGCUGAGAGCUGCCAUCCCACUAGCUCAAUUGCAUCCCUGUUAUAUCCCUUAAGGGACGUGCCCCCACUCCUCACCCCCGCCUUGGCCCCAGCUGCCCUUGGCCACCAGUCCUCUGGACUAAUGCUCCUGUGCCAGUGACGCUGCAGUUGGCAAGGAGACAGUGUGGGCAGCCCCGUACCUGUCCUCUCCCCCGCCCCGGUCCCCAGAGCCUCCAGCUGACACUCAUUUGGCCUUGUGUUGACUUUAAGAAGUGUUUCCCGUUGUUGAGUUUGGGGGUUGUUACUGGUUGAAGUGGGGGCAGGGUUCUGUCUCCUAGGCGUUAACUGUCUGGGACAAGCAGUCUUUGGGUAACAGAUUUUGCAGAGCAGGUCAGAGAACUUCCUAGAAACAAGCAGCACCUCUGUCCCAGAAAGAGGUGGGGCUCAGGCUGAGAGGCGGGGCUUGUCCUACUCUUGAAUUCACCGCCUUCGGCUUCGGGGAAAUGAGUUGGUGGCCUCCGCUCACUGGUGGGUGGCCACACAGGUGGCGUCCUCUCCAGGUGCCUUCUUGUCCUUCACAGCGUCUGCCCCGUUGUGCGAACAAAGUGAUGGACUUUGCCAAGCCUCCUUGCUCAACAGAGGACAGCAGAAGUGUUGCUGGGCGACUUCUGAGACUUGGUCGUAGAAGAGGAUACCACCUCUGCCUGGUUCUCUGUUCAUUUUGACACGCACCCUUGGAGCCCUGAGCUAUGCUGAAGGCCCCUUGCAAGAGAGACCAUGUGAGGAGGUCGCACAGAGACAGAGAGAAGCCCAAGGAGCCCCAGCUGUGUGAGUCUUUCCGGGGCAGAUAUCAGACAGACCAAGGAGACAAUGGGAAGGAGCCAGUCGAGGAGGGAGAAGUUGAAAACACAGGAGACAAGGAGAGCGAAGCAGGAGAUCAGGUUCUCUGUCGGGAGAGAAGCAAGAAAGUGGAGCUGCAGGAGUUUCUGUAAGUGUCUAGGAGGGGCUGCGCAUCCUCCCAGGGCCGUCCGUGCUUGUGUCGUCUAAAAGCACAAGAGCUGAAAACUGCACGCUGGCGAUUCAACUCGCUGUGUCAAAUACCACACAAGGCCAACCCUGAACAGGACCGGAGAAACCUCCUGGAACAGGAAGCAGAGCGGUGGAAAAUGCCCAUGCUUUAGAGCCAGAUGGACGUGGGUCCAGUCUUGGCUCUUCUCCCACUCCCCGGGUGAUCUUGGGCAAUUUACUUCUCUUCCUUGAGUCUCAGUUGCCCCUUUUUCACUUUGACAACUUGGAACAGGGAACAGAGUGAGGCAAGGUCUGGAUUAAUUCUGAAGGAGAAGCUACCAGCCGCCCCUCUGGAGAGAUAGAAGGAGAGUCAUGUUGGGGCAAGCCUUUUUCUUAUGAAGAGCUGCUGUUUGCCACCUUUUACUUAAAACUGUGUAUCUAUUUUGCAAACAGGCCCCUUGCCCGAGGUAUCAGAUCAUUGCCUUUGUCAAAUAAAGGAAUAACAGGACUUUUUGCUUAACCUAGCUAGGUGGUCCAUCACCAAGACCCCUUGAUAGGCAAUGUUC